rnacentral:lncRNA from 1 species
UAUUGUUAUAGAGUUAGAGUUGUGAUGAUGAACUGUAUAUGCACUGUUCUCCACUCAUGAAGGACUAAACUGUGUUAGUAAUGUGAUUGAUAUAGUUCGUGGUGUUGCUUGAUGUAUCACUGAGACUUAUUGUUUGUUUGUCUUUUUAAUUUGUUACUUGUACUGUUGAGAUUACAUAAAUUAUAUUAAUGUUGUUGAGAAUAUUAGUUGUGUAAGUUGUGUGUAUUAAGUAAUAAUUUUUUUUUAUUCUUAUUAUGUUGGUUAUAUGUUUUUUUUAUAUUUAAACUUGUUGUUUUUACCGGACCUUUAAAACAAAUACAUGAAGACUUGUAGAAAU